UAUCUCAUAACGAAGUCAAAAAUGC
rnacentral:rasiRNA from 1 species